rnacentral:lncRNA from 1 species
CGAUUCGGAGCUCGUAUGCGAAAGUUAUGGCUGUUUCUGUGGCGAGCGGUAGUACCGCUGGACCUAGCGGUGGUACCGCUAGAGUUGGCGGUAGUACCGCUGGCCCUAGCGGUAGUACCGCUAGAGCUGGCGGUAGUACCGCUGUCCAGCGGUAGUACCGCCCCUGGCCAGCGGUAGUACCGCUCCAAGUUUUUCGUACCGUCAUCUUUGCGGUUGUACUGCGUCGGACCUUUUUGCGAAGACCUUCUUGGCGGUGGUAGUGCCUUUGCACUACCACGGAGCCAGCGGUAGUACCGCUGGGACGAGCGGUAGUACCGCUGGAGUGCCAGCGGUAGUACCGCUAGCUGGCGGUAGUAUCGCCCCUGGUCAGCGGUAGUACCGCUGGAGGGUCAGCGGUAGUACCGUUGGAGCCAGCGGUAGUACCGCUGGGCUCGGGCUGUAAGUGGGGGUAACGGUCUGAUUUGUUCCCCCACUAUAUAAAGGGGGUCUUCUUCCCCCUUGGCCUCAUCUAUCCGUUGAGCUCUUGUUCUACCUCCAUUGUUGACAUUCUUAGAGCUUGCUAACUCUCAAUCCCUCCAAUGAUUCUUGCUUGUUCUUGAGGGAAAAGAGAGAGGAGAUCUAAAUCCACAUCUCCACCAAUCACUUUCUCCUCUAUGUGAGGGGAACCCCUUGGAUCUAGCUCUUGGAGUUCUUUGUGAGCUCCUUGUUCUUCCUCUCAUAUUUCUCCAUAGCUUUUGUUGUUGUGGAGGGAUUUGAGUGUGAGGGACUUGACCACUUCGUGUGUUCUUGCCAUUGCAUUAGUUGCAUCGGUUUGAGUUCUCCACGGUGAUUUGUGGAAGUGAGAAGUUGAGAAGCUUACUACCUUUGGUACUUUGUACCCUAGAUAUUGUUCUUCGUGGAUGCCUUGGCAUCCUAGAAGCUUGGUGGUGUCUCGAAGCUCAAUCAUUGUGGUGUGAAGCUCCGGGCAAGCGUCGGGGUCUCCAAUUAGGUUGUGGAGAUAGCCCCGAGCAAUUUGUACGGGUACCGGUAACCGCCACCAAGGGUUGCCACGUGUACGGGUUCGGUGACCGCCCCCAAGGUUUGCCAUUUGUACGGGUUCGGUGACCGCCCUCAAGGGUCCCUUAGUGGAAUCACGGCAUCUUGCAUUGUGCGAGGGCGUGAGGAGAUUACGGUGGCCUUAGUGGCAUCUUGGGGAGCAUUGUGCCUCCACACCGAUCUAACGGAGAUUAGCAUCCGCAAGGGUGUGAACUUCGGGAUACAUCAUCGGCUCCCCGUGCCUCGGUUAUCUCUUACCCGAACCCUUUACUUAUGCACUUUACUUUGUGAUAGACAUAUUGUUUAUUAUAAUAUAUCUUGCUAUCACUUAGUUGUUUAUCUUGCUUAGCAUAAGUUGUUGGUGCACAUAGGUGAGCCUAAUUGUUUGUAGGUUUUGUGCUUGACAUAUUAAUCAUUAGUUUUAUUCCGCAUUUGUUCAAGCCUAAACCUUAAUUAUUUUAAAGCGCCUAUUCACCCCCCCCCCUCUAGGCGACAUCCACGUCCUUUCACACUCCUCCCCUCUUGCUGGAUCAAGAAGGUGGAGAUCGUCAUCGAGCUGUGCGUGUGUUGAACGCGGAGGUGUCGUCCGUUCGGCACUAGAUCGGGAUGGAUCGUGAUGGGAUCACGGGACGGAUCGUGAUGAGAUCGCGGGACGGAUUGUGAUUUGGAUCACUAAGAUGUUCCACUACUUCAACCGCGUUAUAUACGCUUCCGCUUAGAGAUCUACAAGGGUACGUAGAUUCAGUAUCCCCUCUUGUAGAUGAUCAUCACCAUGGAUAGGUAUUGCGUGCGCGUAGGAAAUUUUAUGUUUCCCAUGCGACGUUCCCCAACAGUGGUAUCAUGAGUUAGGUCUAUGUGUUGAUGACAUCUCGAGUAGAACACAAAGGAGUUUGUGGGCGUUCAUAUUCGGAUUGCUUCCCUCCUUAGUCUUUUCUUGAUCCGGCGGUAUUGUUGGAUUGAAGCGGCUGCUGACGUGCAACUAUUCCUGACUUGAUGCCUCCACGGCAACGGAGCCAGAAAAGAGCUCGUCCCCUUUGCUCAACAAUUAGCAAUUCUCUUGCAAUGGCCCACCAGCGCGUGGGUUCGCGGCAGUUUUCGAGGGUAGAGUAUUCAACCCAAAUUUGUUGGUUCACCCGACGGGAAGUGAAAGAAUAUUCUCAAGUAUUAGCAGUUGAAUGUGUCAGAUUCAACCACACCUGAAAGAUUAGUGUCUGCAAGCAAAGUAUCAGCAGCAAAGUAGUAUGAUAACAACGGUGCCAGAAACGAUCUGUUGACGGCAGACUCUUCCUAACAGUUGUAUCAAUGGCGCCAGAAGUUGCCCGCGGACGGGAAAUAUUCUUUCCCGUCAACGUCGCGAGAAAAAGUAAUGUAGCAGGUAGCAACAGUGUAACGAGUAACAGCAGUGGCAAGGAACAGCAGUAGUGACAGCAGUAGCAAGUAGCAAUGGUAGCAAGUAACAACAGCAGAGCAAAGCAAGUAACAGCAGCAGCAACAGUAGUAACAGCAGCAGAGCAAAAAAGUAACAGAAGUGGGACAAACUCGUAGGCAAUGGGUCGGUGAUUUGUCGGAUGAUAUUCAGCAUGCAACAGUUAUAACACGGAGAGAUAUGUGGCUAGCUCUCGUUCGUCAAUAUGAUGUAGGCAUGCAUUCCGUGUGUUGUCAUACAUGCUUAGGGAAAAAACUUGCAUGACAUCUAUUGUCCAUCCCUCCCAUGGCAGCGGGGUCCAAAAGGAUACUACGUGAUAUUAAGGUUCUCCUUUUAAUAAAGAACCGGAACAACGCAUUAGCACUUGGUGAACACAUGAACUCCUCAAACUAUCGUCAUCACCGGGAGUGGUUCCGGUUAUUGUCACUCCGGGGUUGCCGGAUCAUAACACAUAGUAGGUAACUACAACUUGCAAGAUCGGUUCUAAAACACACAUAUAUUGGUGACAACAUAAUAAUUUCAGAUCUGAAAUCAUGGCACUCAGGCCCUAGUGACAAGCAUUAAGCAUGGCAAAGUAGUAGCGACAUCAAUCUCAGAACAUAGUGGAUACUAGGGAUCAAUCCCCGUCAAAACUAACUCGAUUACAUGAUAGAUCUCAUCCUACUCAUCACCGCCCAGCGAGCCUAUGAAUAGAUUACUCACGAACAAUGAAGAGCUUCAUGGAAUUGGAGAGGGAAGAAGGUUGAUGAUGACGAUGGCGACGAUUUCCCCUCUCCGGAGCCCAAAACAGACUCCAGAAAUGUCCUCCAGAUGAAGAACAGGAUGUGGCGGCGCCUCCGUAUCGCAAACGCGAUGAAAUCUUCUCUCUUGAUUUUUUCGGGACAAAAGUGAAUUCAUAGAGCUGAAUUUGGGGGCGGCAGAGCCACGUGGGCCCCACAAGCUUGGUAGCCGCCACCAGGGGCGGGGGCUACAGGGCUUGUGGCCCACUAGCCCAUUGCUACUGCAACACAAGACCUUCCAACGGCGCCAGAAACAAGCGUGCUGACGGGAGACUAUUCUUGUCUUGAUACUCCUCAGCAACGGCACAAGGAAUCCUUCUGCUACGGCUACGCCUUUAGGGACUUCCUAGGAAAAUAUGCAAAGGAUUCCCCUGUGGCCUUGGAGCCUUGCGUUGGUGUUCCCUCGAAGCGGAAAGGGUGAUGUAGCACAGUGGCGGUAAGUAUUUCCCUCAGUUUUGAGAACCAAGGUAUCGAUCCAGUGAAGGAAUAUCACAAGUACCUGCACAAACACAAAGAGCUUGCUCCCAACACUAUGAAGGGGUUGUCAAUCCCUUAUAGAUUGUUUGCCAUGUGAGAACUGAAAGCAACAAAGAAACAAAGCAAAGUAAAAGCAAAAGUGGAAACGAUAGGUGUGAAUAGACCCGGGGGCCGUAGUGUUCACUAGUGGCUUCUCUCAUGAAAGCAAGUAGACGGUGGGUGAACGAAUUACUGUCGAGCAAUUGAUAGAACCACGCAAAGUCGUGACGUUAUCUAUGGCAAUGAUUAUAUCUAUAGGCAUCACGUCCAAAACAAGUAGACCGAUACUUUCUGCAUCUACUACUAUUACUCCACACGUCGACCGCUAUCCAGCAUGCAUCUAGUGUAUUAAGUCCAAAAGAACAGAGUAACGCCUUAAGCAAGAUGACAUGAUGUACAUGGAAAAUCUCAUAUCUACGAUAAAAUCCCAUCUUGUUACCCUUGAUGGAAACAACACGAUGCGUGCCUUGCUGCCCCUUCUGUCACUCGAAAAGGUCACCACACGGUAUGAGCCCAAAACCAAGCACUUCUCCCAUUGCAAGAAUCAUAGAUCUAGUUGGCCAAACAAAACCCAAGACUCGGAGAGACUUACAAGGAUAUCAAAUCAUGCAAAUAAGAAAUCAGCAAAGACUCAAAUAUAUAUCAUAGAUAAUCUGAUCACAAAUCCACAAUUCAUCGGAUCUCGACAAACACACCGCCAAAGAGGAUUACAUCGGAUAGAUCUCCAUGAAGAUCAUGGAGAACUUUGUAUUGAAGAUCCAAGAGAGAGAAGAAACCAUCUAGCUACUAACUACGAACCCGUAGGUCUGAAGUGAACUACUCACGAGUCAUUGGAGGGGCGAUGAUGUUGAUGAAGAAGCCCUCCAACUCCAAAGUCCCCUCCGGCAGGGCACCGGGAAGGGUCUCCAAAUGAGAUCUCGCGGAAACGGAAGCUUGCGGCGGCGGAAAAGUGUUUUCGUGGUUCCCCUAAUUUUUUCUGGAUUUUUAGGGAAUAUAUAGGCCGAAGACCUAGGGCAGGGGAGCGCUAGGGGGGCACAAGCUUGGUUGUUGCGACCUCCCCCUUGGCCGCGGCACUAGGGCUUGUGGGCCCCCUGUGGGCCCACUUGCUUGGCCCCCAAGCCUCCCAAUCUUCUUCCGUUCUGGAAAAAUUCAUUUCGGGGAUUUUAUUCCGUUUGGACUCCGUUCCAAAAUCAGAUCUGAAAAGAGUCAAAAACACAGAAAAAACAGGAACUCGAACUUGCCACUAAGUUAAUAAGUUAGUCCCAAAAAAGAUAUAAAAGGUAAACAAAACAUCCAAAGUUGACAAGAUAACAGCGUGAAACCAUCAAAUAUUAUAGAUAUGUUUGAGACGUAUCACCCAUUCCCUCCGGUGGAUCUUUGCGCAGGUAUUUUUCAUAUUUUCCAGAAAUAUUCUGCGUAAAUUUUCAGGACGUUCCGAGAACUUUCAUUUCUGCACAAAGACAACACCAAGGCAAUUCUGCUGAAAACAGCGUCAGAUCAGGUUAGUUCCAUUCAAAUCAUGCAAAUUAGAGUCCAAAACAAGGGCAAAAGAGUUUGGAAAAGUAGAUACGAUGGAGACGUAUCAACUCCCCCAAGCUUAAAACCUUGCUUGUCCUCAAGCAACUCAGUUGACAAACUGAAAGAGAAAGAAAAACUUUGACAAACUCUGUUUGAUCUUGUUGUUGCAACUAUGUCUAACUCAUAACCAGAAUUUCAGCAAGAUCACAAGUUAACCACAUAAGCAAGUGACACAAAGGUCUCAUGGUAAACUAAUAUCAAUGGCAUAAUCAUCUAGCGAGCAAAUAAUAAUGAGUUUCAGAUACCAACAAUUCAAUCAAGACAAGCAUGAAGCAAUAUAAAUAGGUGGUAUCUCACUAGCUCUUUGUGAGACCGCAAAACAUAAAUGCGGAGCACUUUCAAAGAUCAAGGGCUGACUAAACAUUGUAAUUCAUAGCAACGAAGAUCCAGUCAUAGUCAUACUCAAUAUCAAUCAAAAGCAAAGCAUAAAAAUGACAGAGGUGCUCUCUAAUUGGUCCUUAUACAAGAAGAGGAUGACUCAACAGGAAAAUAAAAUAGACAGGCCCUUCGCAGAGGGAACCAUUGAUUUGCAGAGGUGCCAGAGCUCAAGCUUUGAAAACAGAGAUAAUAAUUUCGGGUGGCAUGCUUUCAUUGUCAACGCAAUGACCAAGAGUGCUCAAUAUCUUCCAUGCUACUCAUGCUAUAGGCGGUUCCCAAAUAGAAAAGUAAAGUUUUAACUCCCCCACCACCAAUCAAUCACAGUCCACGGCGAGCCGAAUCCUCGGGUACCGUCCAUACUAACAUCAACCCGGGGGGAGUCUUGUUUUACAGUUAUGUUUUCGAUUUAAGAGUGGAACUGGGCAUUCCAAUCACCGGAUCCUUUCUCGUGAAUGACAGUGAAUAAACACAUGUCGAGGAUAACACGCCUAACAUGGAAGAUAUCAAUAGCCCCCUGUCACCACAUGAGCGGUUCGGGCAAAAUAGAUUAUUUCUUGAAGGUUUAGAGAAUGGCACAUGCAAAUUUACUUGGAACGACAAGUAGAUACCGCAAAUAGGUAGGUAUGGUGGACUCUCAUGGAAAAACUUUUGGGUUUAUGGAAGUGGAUGCACAAGCUGUAUUCCGCUUAGUACAAGUCAAGGCUAGCAAAAGACUGGGAAGCGACCAACUAGAGAGCGACAACAGUCAUCAAGAUGCAAUGAGUUUGACUAACAUGGAGUGCAAGCAUGAACAGGAUAUAAAUCACCAUGAACACGAACAUCAUAGAGGCUAUGUUGAUUUUGUUUCAACUACAUGCAUGAACAUGCGCCAAGUCAAGCCACUUGAAUCAUUCAAAGGAGAAUACCAUCCUAUCAUACUACAUCAUAGUCAUCUCAAAAUCUAUGUUAGCAUUCAAGACAAACCAUUAUAAGCUCUCAACUAAUUAAGCAUGGCAUCAGAAACUAUGAUCUCUAAGUUGUCAUUGCAAACAUGGUUCUCUCACAACAAAGCUGAAUCUGGGACGACAAGCUAGUCAUAUUUACAAAAACAAAAUAGAUAGAGUUCAUACCAGCUUUUCCAGUCUCAGUCACUUCAUCAUAUAUCAUCAUUAUUGCCUUUCACUUGCACGAUCGAACGAUGUGAACAAUAAUAAGAGUGCUCGUGCAUUGGACUAAGCUGAAAUCUGCAGGCAAACACAAAGGAGAAGACAAAGUAAUAUGGCUCUUUGAAAGCUAAAUAGGUAUACAUGCAAGAGCCACUAAACAUUGUAACCAAUAUCUUCUACCUUGACCCAAAGAAAAAGAAAACUAUUUACACGGGAAAACUCCCAACAAGGAAAAGAAGAAAGGAAAAUCUUUUUGGGUUUUCUCAAAAGGACACAAAACAAGAAAACAAGAAAACGAAAAUAAACUAGCAUGGAUAAUACAGUGGCAAAGUGUAAAUACCGACUAACAAAGUGAAAGCAUAAGCAUGAAUGUAAGGUCGGUGAGAACACGUACUCCCCCAAGCUUAGGCUUUUGGCCUAGCUUGGUCUACUCCCAAGGCGGGAAAUAACCAGCUCCGGGAUACUCCGGAGCGGACUAUGGACGCCGCUGCUGUGUGAGCUCCUCUCGCUCCCACUGAUAAACUAGCGUCUGGUACUCGACUGGCGGCUCGGGCACGGGCACGGCCAAGCCCCAAUAUGCGUAGAUGUCCGAGGGCAUAAUAGUGUACCUGCCUGCAUGAAGAUUGAACAAAGAAGGAGCAGGCAAAGUAAUAGUCUCUCAAGUACCCUGACUAAAUACCAGGUUAUAAAUCAUCCGUCUACUAGCAUCUCUAUCCAGAAAAUCAUGGCGAACCAUGCUGUCAUAAUCCAGAUAUUUCUCAGGAAGAAGAAUCUCUCCUUCCUCCCCUAGUCUAACGGGUUCUCAAAGUGUCUCGCAAGAUGGGUAGCAUAGAUACCUCCAUAGACGAAACCCUUGGAACGGUUUGUGUUCAGCCGCUGAGCUACUAUAGCACCUAGGCUAUAAGUCUUAUCGUUAUAAAGGCCUUCGUGCAAAACCGCAAGGUCUGGAGAACUAAGUGAUCCAGCCUCCCCACGGCCAAUCAAACAUUUUCCCACAAAUAAUGAGAAGUACCGAAGCACAGGAAAAUGUAUACUAGCAAUUCUAGCGCGAGACACUCCUCUCUCCUCUCCAACAGCAAUAGUACCUAUGGAAUCCUCCAAGUCACGUGGACGAGGGUCAUGAAUAUCCCCAACAUAAGGUAAUUUGCAUACAUUGCAAAAAUCAUGUAGUGUCAUUCACUGGGGGAUGUCGUAUAACAUGAACUCAACCAUGGGAAGAUUCUUCCUCGGAUAAAAGUUGAAGCUUUGAACGAAAAUAUUGGUGAGGAGGAGGUAUUGUGAGCACUUAUCUUCAACGAACGUGGUAAGACCUGUGUUCUCCACCAAGUAAUAAAAGUCUUCAUAAAGCCCAGCGGCGCGCAAAAAUUCAUCACUUGGCCACUCGCAUGCUCGAACUUCUGUGACUCGAGGAACCACGUACUUGGGGUGGUUCUUCUCAUCCUCCUUGGGGUUACGGCUUGAAGAGCCUCUCAAGAACCUCCUCAUCUUUUCCUUUUUCUAGCUCUGAAAAAUUCUGAAAUUUUAGAGACUUCGAAAGAAAAGUGAGUAGGAUUAACCCAACUCGUAGCAACUACUCCUACUAGUGCCUAGAGACCGUAUCACGCACUAAAACUACUUGGGACCAGCUAAAAUCAACAUUUCAAGCUCAAGAACAGGGUCACCAAGGUAGCAAGAAUACGCGAAGGAUAAAGCACUAGAGCAAAAACUAAUUGGACCAAUGGAGGAGUCACUUACCAAGGAGUAAUUUCCCCCAAAACAGUUUGGAGAAUGGUGCUUUGAGCAAGGAGAUCGAAAUUCUCAGCCAAAUGAGCAAGAACACGGGUUUGAGCUGCGAAACGAUUUUUUCUGGGGGUAGAAGAAGAGGAUGGGAGCUGGAAUGAGUGGAGGGGGUCCCUGUGGUCCCCACAAGCUUGGUAGCCGCCACCAGGGGGGCGGCGGCUACAGGGCUUGUGGCCCACUGGUGUGGCCCCCAGGCCAGCUCUCGGUCCCAGUAUUUUUCAAAAAAUCCAGAAAAAAUCAUACUAGAUUUUCAGGACCAUCGGAGAACUUUUAUUUUCGGGGUAUUUUUCUCCGGGACGCUAAAACAGAAAGCAGGAAAAACUAAACUAUAUCUAUCAUUUUUCUUCUAAGCAACAGAAAGUGAAAGCUUAAAACAGAGGUAUGUGACUCUUUGAUUCAUCCAUUUCAUGGUCAUCAAAAGAAAUCCGUCAAUGGGGUUGAUCAAAUCGUCAUGACAAAACCUUUUCGAAUCGCAAGAGGAAACGGAGAAUUGUCGAAUAGCCACUAAGUCACCUGAAUAGGGAUAUGUAUCUCCCCAACAAGAAAAUCAUACUUCAUCUUGACACGAGGAAUAGGGCAUUCAAAGCUCCCAAUAAGAAUCGAUGAAGUUUUUCCGAUAGCAUUGAUGCAAUGUACUUGAUAUCGUUUCUUCGGAAAGUGCAUUGUAUGCUCAUUACCGUUGACUUGGAAAGUGACAUUGCCUUUGUUGCAAUCUAUAACAGCCCCUGCAGUGUUUGAAAAGGGUCUUCCGAGGAUGACGGACAUGGCAUCGUCCUCGGGAAUAUCCAAGAUAACAAAGUCUGUUAAGAUAGUGGUGUUAGCAACCACAACAGGCACAUCCUCGCAAAUGCUGAUAGGGAAAGCAAUUGAUUUGUCGGCCAUUUGCAGAGAAAUUUCAGUGGGUGUCAACUUAUCCAGUUCAAGUCUAUGAUAAAUAGAGAGCGGCAUAACACUAACACCGGCUCCAAGGUCACAUAAGGCAGUUCUUACGUAGUUUCCUCUAAUGGAGCAAGGUAUAGUGGGCACUCCGGGAUCACCAAGUUUUUUAGGAGUUCCACCUUUGAAAGUGUAAUUGUCAAGCAUGGUGGAGAUCUCAAGAUCUGGUAUCUUCCGUUUAUUAGUCACGAUAUCUUUCAUGUACUUGGCAUAUGGAGACAUUUUGAGCAUAUCAAUUAACCGCAUCUGCAGAAAGACGGGUCUUGUCAUCUCAACGAAGCGCUCAAAAUCCUCAUCAUCCUUUUUCUUGGAUGGCUUAGGAGGAAAGGGCAUGGGUUUCUGAACCCAUGGCUCCCUUUCUUUACCAUGCUUCCUAGCAGCGAAGUCAUUCUUAUCGUAUCUCUUAGGUUGUGGGUUAUCAGGAUUAACUGUAGGUUCAAUCUCCACAUCCUUAUCAUUGGUAGGUUGAGCCUCAUUAUGAACAUCACUGUCCAUAUUGUCACCAGGUUCAUGUUCAUCACCAGAUUGUGUUUCUGCAUCAGACGCAGAAAUAUCAUUUGGUUCUUCACGGGUGACAGUAUUUGGUGAACUGACAUGUAGGUUUCUAUCAUCCUUCUUCUUCUCCUUAGGAUGACUGGGUGUAUCAGCAAUAAUUCCUUGAGAAUCUUGAUCAAUUCUCUUAGGAUGGCCUUCAGGAUACAAAGGUUCCUGAGUCAUUUUGCCUACUCUAGUAAUGACUCUGACAGAGUUGUCAUUUCAUUCAUUGAGCAGGUCAUUCUGAUCUUUAAGUACUUGUUCUACCCGAGUAGUAAUCAUAGAGGAAUGUUUACUCAGAAGCUUCAGAUCAUUGACAAUUCUGUCUACACAAGCACUUAAAUGACUAAGCAUACGAGUACUUUGUUCCAAAUGUCUGCUAACAUAAUCAUUGAAACUCUGUUGUUGGCAACAAAGUUGUCAAAUUCAUCAAAGCAUAGGCUAGCAGGUUUAUCAAAAGGAAUAUCACUCUCAUAAAACCUACGCAGAGAAUUCACUUCUACUACUUGUAUCGGGUUAUCGAGACCAUGGAUCUCUUCGAUAGGUGGUAGAUUUUUGACAUCUUCAGAUCUAAUGCCUUUCUCUUGCAUAGAUUUCUUGGCUUCUUGCAUAUCUUCGGGACUGAGGAAUAGAACACCUCUUUUCUUAGGAGUUGGCUUAGGAGGUGGUUCCGGAAUAGUCCAAGCAUUAUCGUUGAUCAAGAUGUUAUUCAGAAGGAUCUCAGCUUGUUCUAUAGUUUGUUCCCUAAAAACACAACCGUCACAUCUAUCUAGGUGGUCUCUAGCAGCAUCGGUAAGUCCGUUAUAGAAGAUAUCAAGUAUCUCGUUCUUCUUAAGAGGGUGAUCAGGCAAAGCAUUCUGUAGCUGGAUGAGCCUCCCCCAAGCUUGUGGGAGACUCUCUUCUUUGAGUUGAGCAAAGUUGUAUAUUUCCUGCAAGGCAGCUUGCUUCUUAUGGGCAGGGAAAUAUUUCUCACAGAAGUAAUAGACCAUAUCCUGGGGACUACUCACACAUCCAGGAGCAAGAGAAGUGAACCAGGCUUCAGCGUCAUCCUUUAGAGAGAAAGGAAACAGCUUAAGGAUAUAGUAGUAGCGGAUCUUCUCCUCACUAGUGAAAAGGGUGGCUAUAUCAUGUAGUUUGGUAAGAUGGGCUACGACCGUCUCAGACUCAUAACCGUGGAAAGGAUCAGAUUCGACUAGAGAAAUUAUCUCAGGGUCGACAGAGAAUUCAUAAUCCUUAUCGGUGAUAAAGAUAGGUGAAGUGGCAAACUUCCGGUCGUAUUUCAUCCUAGCUUUCAGAGAUUUUUCCUUCCACUUGAGAAGUAAUUUCUCAGCGUCAUAGGCAUCCUUACACGCAAGAAAUUCCUCAGCUAUCUCUCCCUCCAUAACAUAACCUUCAGGUAUAUCAGGCAAUUCAUAUCUAGGAGAGCUAGAUCUAGCAGGAGCAAAAGCAGGUUCUAUCUCAAUAGUAUCGGCAGUUUCAGAAGCAUCACGAGCAUUGGCAGUAACUCUAGCAAUAUGAGCAUCAAGGAAUACCCCUAGUGGCAUAUCAGGCAAAGUAGUAUCUCUAGCAGUAUCAAGCAUAGCAUCUCUAGCAGUAUCAGGCAAGACAGUAUCAGGCAUAGCAUCCAUAGCAGUAUCAGGCAUAGCAUCAUCAUGCAAAGCAUCAUCAUGCGACUAUUUCCCCUCUCCGGAGCCCAAAACGGACUCCAGAUCUGUCCUCCAAAUGAAGAACAGGAUGUGGCGGCGCCUCCGUAUCGCAAACGCGAUGAAAUCUUCUCUCUUGAUUUUUUUCGGGACGAAAUGAAUUUAUAGAGCUGAGUUUGGGGGCGGCAGACCCACGUGGGCCCCACAAGCUUGGUAGCCGCCACGAGGGGGCGGCGGCUACAGGGCUUGUGGCCCACUGGCCCAUCCCCUCCGGUGGAUCUUUGCGCAGGUAUUUUUCAUAUUUUCCAGAAAUAUUCUCCGUAAAUUGUUAGGACGUUCCGAGAACUUUCAUUUCUGCACAAAAACAACACCAAGGCAAUUCUGCUGAAAACAAUGUCAGUCCAGGUUAGUUCCAUUCAAAUCAUGCAAAUUAGAGUCCAAAACAGGGCAAAAGAGUUUGGAAAAGUAGAUACGAUGGAGAUGUAUCAGCGGCCCGGACCAAUAUAACUCGUACGCUUACAAGAGACCGGUUUCAUCGACUAACAUGCAACUUGUUGCAUAAAUAUGAUUGGCGGGUGUAUGUUUCUUCAACUUUAAUUGAAUAGGAUUUGAUCAAGGUGGUCCUUGGAGAAGAUUAAAUAGCAACUUGAGUAUUACCAUUGUGGUUUUGCGUAAGUAAGAUGCGAUCAUACAAGAUACCCAUAGGAGCCAUGUAAAACAUGGUACAACAAAUUACAAGACGUCUAACUUGUUUUUGCACGGUAUGCAUGUGAUGUGAUAUGGCCAAAGACAUGAUAUGAUAUAUUGGAUGUAUGAGAUGAUCAUGUUGUAAUAGUUAAAUACCGACUUGCACAUCGAUGCUACGGCAACCGGCAGGAGCCAUAGGGUUGUCUUUAAUUAUUUUGCGCUUGGAGAUGCUUUGCUUUAUUACUAGUAGUAGCUUUAGUAGUAAUAGCAUAGUUAGCGUGACAACCUCGAUGGCAGCACAAUGAUGGAGAUCAUGGUGUGGUGUCGGUGACGGCGGAGAUCAUGCCGGUGCUUUGGUGAUGAAGAUCAAGAAGCACAAGUUCAUGACCAUAUCAUGUCACUUAUGAUUUGCAUGUGAUGUUAAUCCUUUAUGCACCUUGUUUUGAUUAGACGAUGGUAGCAUUAUAAGGUGAUCCCUCACUAAAAUUUCAAGAUAAAAUUGUGUCCUCCCAGACUGUGCGCCAUUGCGACAGUUCGUCGUUUCGAGACACCGCGUGAUGAUCGGGUGUGAUAGACUCAACGUUCACAUACAGCGUGUGCAAAACAGUUGCACAUGCAGAACACUCAGGUUAAACUUGACGAGCCUAGCAUGUACAGACAUGGCCUCGGAACACAAGAGACCGAAAGGUUGAGCAUGAAUCAUAUAGUUGAUAUGAUCAACAUGGAGAUGUUCACCAUUGGAACUAUACUCAACUCACGUGGUGAUCGGACUUGAGUUAGUGAAUUUGGAUCAUGCGACACUCGAAUGACUAGAGGGAUGUCAAUUUGAGUGGGAGUUUAUUAGUAAUAUGAUUAGCUAAACUCUAUUAUCAUGAAAUAGUCAAAAUAUCUUUGCAAAUUAUGUUAUAGCUUGCACCGUAACUCUAUUGUUUUUGAUAUGUCCCUAGAGAAAACUUAGUUGAAAGAUGAUAGUAGCAAUUAUGCGGACUGGGUCCAUAAACUAAGGAUUUUCCUCAUUGUUGCACAGAAGGCUUAUGUCCUUAAUGCACCGCUCGGUGCGGAACCUCGAACGUCGUCUGUGGAUAUUGCGAACAUCUCACAUACAGGUUUUUUAUGACUACGUGAUAGUUCAGUGAGUAAUGCUUAACAACUUAGAAUUGAGGCGCUGAAGAUGUUUUGAACGUCACAGAACAUAUGAGAUGUUCCAAGAGCUAAAAUUGGGAUUUCAGGAUCGUGCCCACGUCAAUAGGUAUGAGACCUCCGACAAGUUUCUUGGCAUGCGAAGUAAGGGAGAAAAGCUCAAUCGUUGAGUGUGUGCUCAGAUUGUUUGAGUACUACAAUCGCUUGAAUCAAGUGGGAGUUAAUCUUGCAGUAAGAUAGUGAUUGACAUGGUUCUCCAAAGUCAUUGCCACUAAGCUAGUCAGCUUCUGAUGAACUAUAACAUGUCACGGAUAGAUAUGAUGAUCCCUGAGUUAUUCGUGAUGUUUGACACCGCGAAAGUAGAAAUCAAGUAGGAGCAUCAAUUGUUGAUGGUUAGUAAAACCACUAGUUUCAAGAAGGGCAAGGGCAUGAAGGGAUACUUCAUGAAACGGCAAACCAGUUGCUCCUCUAGUCAAUAAGCCCAAGGUUGAACCUGAACCCGAGACUAAGUGCUUCUGUAAUGAGGGGAACGAUCACUGAAGCGGAAGUACCCUAGAUACUUGGUAGAUGAGAAGGCUGGUGAAGUCAAGAAAAGUAUAUUGGAUAUACAUGAUAUUGAUGUGUACUUUACUAGUACUCCUAGUAGCAUGAGGGUAUUAGAUAUCGGCUUGGUUGCUAAAGUGUUAGUAACUCGAAAUAAAACCUACGGAAUAAACAGAUACUAGCAAGGGUGAGGUGAUGAUGUGUGUUGGAAGAAAUUUCAAGGUUGAUGAUAUCAAAACAUCACACGCUCCCUCUACCAUCGGGAUUAGUGUUGAACUUAAAUAAAUGUUAUUUGGUGUUUGCGUUGAGCAUGAACAUGAUUAGAUCGUGUUUAUUGCGUUAUUGCGAUAUGAUUAUUCACUUAAUGAGAGUAAUGGUUAUUCUAUUUGCUUGAAUAAAUACCUUCAAUGGUUUAUUGAAUCUUGGUCGUAGUGGUACACAUGUUCAUUGUUGCCAAAAUAUACAAAGUAGUAAUGAUAGUACCACUUACUUGUGGCACUGCCGCUUGAGUCAUACUGGGAUAAAACACAUGAAGAAGCUCCAUGCUGAUGGAUCUUUGGACUCACUCGUUUUUUGAAUCGUUUGAGACGUGCGAACCAUGCCUAUUGGUGUAAACGCAUUAAGUAACUCCAUGCAGAUGGAUUGUUUAGACUCACUUGAAUUUGAAUCACUUGAGACAUGCAAAUCAUGCCACUCGGGCAAUAUGAUUGAAGGCCUCCUUUUCUAGUGAGAUGGAACAAGAAACUUAUUGGAAGUAAAUAUAAUUUUGAUGUAUGCAGUCCAAUGAGUGCUAAGGCACGCAGUGGAUAUCGUUAUGUUCUUACUUCACAGAUGAUUUGAGUAGAUACUAGUAUAUUUACUUGAUGAAACACAAGUCUGAAUUAUUGAAAGGUUCAAGUAAAUUCAGAGUGAAGUUGAAUAUCGUCAUGACAAGAGGAUGAAUUUCUGUGUUACGAGUUUGGUACACAUUUAAGACAAUGUGGAAAUUGUUUCACAACCCAUGCCACCUGGAACACCAUAGUGUGAUGGUGUGUCAGAACGUCGCAGUUGUGCCUAUUGGAUAUGGUGCAUACUAUGAUGCCUCUUAUCGAAUUACCACUAUCGUUUUUGGGUUAGGCAUUAGAAACAACCGCAUUCACUUUAAAUAGGGCACCACGUAAUUCUUGAGAUGACACCGUAUGAACUAUAGUUUAGAGAAACCUAAGAUGUCAUUUCUUAAAAGUUUGGGGCUAUGAUGCUUAUGUGAAAAAGUUUCAGCAUGAUAAGCUCGAACCCAAAGUGGAUAAAUGCAUAUUCAUAGGACAUCCAAAAUAGUUGGGUAUACCUCCUAUCUCAGAUUCGGAAGCAAAGUGUUUGUUUCUAGAAAUGGGUCCUUUCUUGAGAAAAGGUUUCUCUUGAAAGAAUUGAGUGGGAGGAUGGUGGAACUUGAUGAGGUUAUUGAACCGUCACUUCAACUAGUGUGUAGGAGGGCGCGGGAGGUUGUUCCUGUGGCACCUACACCAAUUGAAGUGGAAAGCUGAUGUAACGCCCAAGAUGCGACCCUAUCCUUAUUUUGGCGCGAGGGCCUCGACAGGGAUAGAAGCGCAUCUCGUCGUUUCGCAAGAAUGGAUAUCGUUACAAGUACAUGUACUGAAGAGAAGAGUAUAUCGAAUUGGCUUACACUCUCCACAAGCUACAUCACAGCCACAUCGGUACAAUACAUAAAUAUCACGAAGAAGAGCAGGGUCCGACUAUGGACGAAAACAAACGAGAAAAGAACGACGUCCAUCCUUGCUAUCCCAGGCUGUCGGCCUGGAACCCAUCCUAGAUCGGUGAAGAAGAAGAAGAAACUCCAAAUGAACAAUCAACACGCUCGCGUCAAGUAACCCUUUACAUGUACCUGCAACUGGUGUUGUAGUCACCUGUGAGCCACAGGGGACUCAGCAAUCUCAUUUCCAAGGUAUCAAGACUAGCAAAGCUUAAUGGGUGAGGUAUGGUUAAGUGGUGAGGCUGCAGCAAGCGACUAAGCAAUAUAUGAGGUGGCUAACUUACGAGUACAAGAAUAAGAGGGGGAGAUGAUCUACGCAUAGCGGACGUGAACUACUGAUGAUCAAAUGAAUGAUCCUGAACACCUACUUACAUCAAACAUAACCCCAUCGUGUCCUCGAUCGGAGAAGGAGCUCAUGAAAGAGACAGACACGGUUAUGCACUCAGUUGGCAAGUUUUAAUUAAGUUUACUUCAGGUCGUCUAGAACCGGAUGUUAAACAAAGUUUCCACGUUGCCACAUAACCACGGGCACGGCUUUCCUAAAGAUUUAACCCUGCAGGGGUGCUCCAACUAGUCCAUCACAAAUUACCACAAGCUGCAUAGAAAUCAUCGAUCAUGAAACUCGCGAUCUGGUCGGACUCCUUAGUGGAAAACCUCAACUCUAAGAUUACCCAAAGCAUCACCCGAAUCCCAAUGCACAAGAUAUUUUGUAAAAGGUAAAUCUAAUCCAGCAAGGCCGCCCGACGUGUCGAAGAUCCCGAUAGGAGCCGCGUAUCUCGUUCUCAGGACACGACGGUAAGCUACGCGUACGGUGGCCUGAUAGAAAUCACCCAAGUUGCCCUGGGUUGGCCCUGCACAGUGCUCUGGUUGGACCAACACUCAUGAGGAGCACUCGCUCGGGGGUUGAUUAAUUACUCUGUGGCUGCCGGCGGGUCCCUAUGCAUUUUUAUUAGUUAUUAGGAAAAUGUAGUACCAAAGUUGGGCCUUGCCAAACCAGUUUUAAUAUAAGACGAAUUAUCAAGGGGGUCCCCAUAACAACCCCGAUCGUGUUAGGAGCGCUCAAUUAUGGAAUAUAACACCGGUAGCCGAAACAAAGGGGGCAAAGGUGGAACAAAACACCAGGCUAGAAAGGUCGAGCCUUCCACCUUUUACCAAGUAUAUAGGUGCAUUAAAUAAAAUAGCAUUAAUAUGGUGAUAUAACAAGGAACCCAUGUUAUCACAUGGAAGCAACUGCACCUGCAACUAGCAGCGCUAACACAUGGGUAAGCAAGCGGUAACAUAGUCAAUCAGUGGUUUGCUAGGUUGUGAACUGGUUGAAGGUUUUCAUGGCAAUGUUGAGAGGCUGAUAUUUAACAGGUGGUAGGCAGCGAGACAUAGCGAAAGAAACGAAAUAACUAGCAUGGCAAUGAUAGUAAUGGUGUCUAGGGAAAUGGUCAUCUUGCCCGAGAUCCUACUUGGAAGAAGAAUGACUCCGUGAAGCAGGCGAACCGACGUAGUCGAACGGAUCCUCACACUCUGAAACGGUCGGAACUCUAUCGAGACGAAGCAAACCGGAAACAAGAAUCAACACACGAUAUUCACCACACGAUGCACAACACAUAUGAUGCAUGAACGGUAUCAAUUAUGCACGACAUGGCAUGUCAAUUCACAACAAUCAAACACUACACAUUAAGUGAAGUUCAAUAUGCAACGAGUUGCAUAUUGACGAAACUCCACAUACGAAUUAUUUAGUUCUAUCCCGAUUAGGUACACGGCAAUAUUAAAUGUUGGUUAAACAUGGCAAGAUGUGAAGCGUAAUUAAGCUACCUAUCUAGGCAUUUUAAAUGAGGUCGGAAACGACAUAUGGCAUCUCUGAACUGACGUCAUACGUUAAUUUAUAAUUCCGUCCAGAUCUGAACUAACACGUUUUAAUAUUUGUUAAACAGCCAAAUAAAUAGGUUCAUGUGAUUCUACGCGUCGUUCCAAUCAAUUUACGCAUAGAGAACAUCUCCAACAGAGUUACGGUUCAAAAGAUAUGAUCACCGCAAGAUAUGAUGGCAUGAAUGCAAUAUGUAUGCAAUGACAGUCACAAGCAUCCCAAAACAAGAAGGCAACAACAUAAUAUGAAACUACAUGAGAUUUUAAGCAAGUUUCAUAUAGGACAUGAUCAAAACGGAGCAACGGUUCAACAAAUACAAGCUACACAAGAAAUAGCUACAAUGUGCCCAAAGCAGCAACAUGGCAUUUUCUACAUCCCAAAACAACAAGCUACAUAAUUCUAAAAUACUCAAACAAGACAUGAGGCAGUAGCGGUCAAGAUGAACAACAACAUACUACUAAUAACAUCUAUCACGGCAGCAUGGUUUAUUAGGAAAAGAACUCACAAAAUGGCAUCUCACACACAGUUCCAGACUUAGUGAAAAUAUCAGUUUUUGACAGUGCAGUAUUCGAUCUGAAGGCAUAUUGAUAGCAGCAAAACUAUAUGCUACAGGGCACCAAAUGGCAUGAAAAUUUAUAGCGUGCUAGAGAAUCUUAAGUACUACAAAUAACUCCAUUGCACCAACCUCAAAAGAGCUAUAGAUCACUAGCAAAACUCAUGGAAAGACAGCAAGAAAAUAUAACAGAUUUCAGACUUAGAAAUAUUUCAGCAUCUCCAAAACAGCACUAUUUUCUAGCAUGUUGACAACAAGCAAACAACACUAAACAUGGAUUUCUAUUACAACCAAAAUUACCAGGGGCUAGCAUGCAUAUCCAAGGGCAUAUCUCUAGUUGACAACUCAUUCAUAUCAUGCACGGAAUAAAUCCCACAAAAUAGGCAAGAGGUCAACAUGGCAGAAAUAUUAUGCACGUUGACUUACUCGAAAUGAAAAACUAAUUGCACAGUUAAAUUCUAUGGAUUUUUCUACCCCGAAAACAUAUAUAAUAUGCGGGGUUCGAAAAAUAAACUAGCGUCACACGUAUAUGCGAGAAUCUGUCCUAAGCACGACAUCACAAACUAGCGAUGGAACCUACAUGCAAAAAAAGCAAACAACUACUCUAAAAUAGUUGGCAAGGGGUCCCGAACAACAUGAACAUUUUAUCUACGGGAUUUAAAUAAACCGGUUGCGCACCAAAAUAACUACGCAGCAAAUAACCUAUUAGGACAGCACGCUAUUCUAGGCAAACGGCGGAUCAAACCACUCCAAACAUGCAUGCAAGUUGCAAAAUAUGAUUCUACGCGAAAAUCUAGUCAAGUUACAUAUAUAAUUCGGUGCAAUCCGACGCACGAAAUAAAAGAUACGGACAUUUUAAUAUAUGCACUAAUCCUGCAAAUAACUAAAAAUCGCAGGUUAAAAGAAAAUAUCUACGGGCCAAAUUCUACAACAGAUGAGCCUACACAGCAUGGCACUAUAUAGUUAAUCUGCGCCGGGGCGGGGAAUUGAAGCGGCUUCUCAUACCUCAGGCCGAGCUGAGCCGGCCUGCUCGGUGGAGAGGUGGAGCUGAUCUGGGGCGAUGUGGAGGGCGCUGGGCCGAAAAGGGAGCCGGGCCGGCUGGGCGNNNNNNNNNNNNNNNNNNNNNNNNNNNNNNNNNNNNNNNNNNNNNNNNNNNNNNNNNNNNNNNNNNNNNNNNNNNNNNNNNNNNNNNNNNNNNNNNNNNNNNNNNNNNNNNNNNNNNNNNNNNNNNNNNNNNNNNNNNNNNNNNNNNNNNNNNNNNNNNNNNNNNNNNNNNNNNNNNNNNNNNNNNNNNNNNNNNNNNNNNNNNNNNNNNNNNNNNNNNNNNNNNNNNNNNACCCGAGCCCGGGGAGGGCCGGAUCUGGGCUCAGGUGGGCCCUGGCGGCUGGCAGGAGGUGGGAGGAGGCUGGCUGUGGCAGCUACGGUUUGGGAGGCACGGGAAAUGGGGAGAGAGGUGAUUUGUUGUCUAUUUAUAGACAAAGGGGCUAGGGUUAGCUAUGCAUGCGUUUUCGGACCCUCCGGUCUAGAUCGGACGCUCCGGAGACGUCUCAGGGUUAGGUUAGGCCGUGUAGAGGGGGUGUAGACGGAGAUGAGAGGGAAAACGGGCAAAACGGCAACAGAGUUUAAAAACAACAUAAAACGUCCGACGAUAACCGAAGACGGUGCCGCUACGGUCGACCGUUCGGGUACCAGAUGGACUCCGAUUGCGACGAAAACUGGCAGGCUGCCUACCUAUAUUAAAAUAAGACCGCACGCCAAGUUUCAACCCAAUCAGAGAAUAUUUUUUACACACUUUUAAAAACAAGAUAUUGAUGAUACCGUCGGCGCGGGUGAGUGUGGUCGGGCUCAACACGGUCAAUGACAAGUACGGAGAGAACCGACAACUAAUAAUGGAUGCAAGUUUUAAAAAUGGCGGCAACGGAGUGCCGAUGCAAUGCAGAUGAUGUGCAUGAUGCGAAGAUGAAUGCGACAGACAAACGAACCACAUGACGAGAACGAAAUAAAAAGGGGAAUCUUCUGGGGCGUCGGUCUCGGGCUGUCACAGCUGAGGAUGGUGAUCAUGAAGCUUCGGAUCAAGUUACUACCAAACCUCAUAGGUCGACAAGGAAACGUACUACUCUAGAGUGGUACAGUAAUCAUGUCUUGAAGGUCAUGUUGCUGGACAACAAUGAACCUACAAGCUAUGGAGAAGCGAUGGUGGGCCUGGAUUCCAACGAAUGACCCAAGGACAUGAAAUCCGAGAGAUGAUAUGUCGUGGUUUUUUCACGGCAGAUGCCCUCGUGAAAGGACUUAGUGAAGGAGCCAUCGCACCUUGGUGGCGACUCAAAGGGGUGAGCGGAAGCGAGACUCGGAUUUACCCAGGUUCGACCCCUCGUGUGGAGGUAAAAGCCUACGUCAUGCUUGUGUAUAUUGAUGGUGGAUUCGAUUACAAGGAGGGCGUAACUCACCUGACCUAGCUCUUGAUGAUUUCUAACUUGAUCUAUCCGUCCCAGAGACUUGCCUUUAUAUACAGGUCGAGGCCCCAGGGUUUACAAAGUCCUGGCCACGUUACAAAUCGUGGCCUUCCUUAUCUCUAAGUCGUUGUGUACCUCAAGCCAAUGAAAACUCCUUGGCGGCUUAUCUUCUUUGUCAUUCUUGAACCGCCAUCCGGCUCGUGGGCCAUGGCGGCCUUCUUACAAGAUCUCCCAACACGCCCCAGGCCCAAACCAAGGCUUAUGUUGGUCAUGUAUGUAUGAGUCGCCACUUCCUGACCCGGCCCAUUAGGUCGGGUCAUACCGCAGGUAAUAUCCCCAACAAUAGGCCCGAGUUUGGCUUGAAUUUAUUCAUUCCAACAAAUCUUCUCUCCUCUUGUUGGUGACUCAUAUCACUCCCAUCUUUUCUUUAAUGAAUGAUAAGCCGCCAGCUUCCUCAAUUUGCUUGAGUCGCGAGGUCAUUUGUUGACGACGUCACCUUCUCCAAUAUUCCACGAAUUCCGAUGACAUCAUUCCCAACGGAUCUUUUUUCGUCCUUAUCUUAUCAUCCCGAAAAUUUAGGCGCCAUCAUCUCCAGGUUUCAAUAUGUCGCCUUGAACCCCGCACCUGCCAUUUGUUGUCUUACCAUGGGCCUUUAAAUAGCCACGGGGGAGUGGGAGGGCAACGCCACCUACCCCCACUCCUUUCUUUCGGCCGCAUCGUCUUCUCAAGCCGCACCUUGACCAUCCCGUCACCGCUGAAGCUCCGUCACAGGUCGUCGCCGUCGAGCAGCUUCCCGAGCCAGUCUAGGGCGCGGCCGCCGUCGCAGGUCUUCUUCAAUCCCUACCCGGCAUCUCCUUCUUCCUUUAGGUAAAUCUCCUCCUCCCAUUAGGAGUAGAUCCAAACCUUCGCACUUCUUAGGUUAGCGUCAGACUCCAUGAACACCACUUCCCCUUGCUUCUUAGCCCAUCCGGAUGCGGUAUUGUAGACCCACAUGUGAAAUGAUAGUCACAGUAGUUCCUGUUGUGUUUCCUAUCAAUCCGUAGUUCACAGAUCUACGCACCAUUUUUCAUAGUGUUGUUGGGCGUUCGAUCCUUCGGCCAGCGUUUAUUUCCCCUAUUGGAAAACGCCCGUAGAUCCGUAAAUUAUUGCUUGUCGUUAGAAACAUGUUUGUCUUCCGAUCAGGAACAUCCCUAAGGAAACCCUUUUUAGAACCAUAACUCGUCUCCUUUUGCCAUGGUGAAUUAGAAUAUCCCUGUAGAUACAGCGUAGAUCAUUUUGGCUGGCGAGUUGUAAUACCCCUGUAGAUACACCUUAGAUAUUUAGCUGGCAAGUCGUCAUUCCGUAGUUCCGUAGUUCCUGACAACCCGCCCUACUCUUGUCCUUUUGUAGUUAUGGGUACUAUCUCAAAAUGCAACUGGCUGCCAACAAAAGUCAAUGAUGCCUAUCUUGACAAUUUUGUAAAAAUGGGUAAUUUAGAUCCCAAGGAAGUUAUUGGGUGGCGGACUGCCUUCAGAGAAACAAUUCCCCAACCCGCCAAAGGAGAGGUAGUCGUGUUUGCUGAUCACUUGGAGUGAGGUUUCAAGCCACCUGGCUCAAAGUUUUUUAGAGACGCCCUGCAUUUCUUCCAACUUCAUCCUCAAUACUUGGGACCAAAUUCCAUCAGUAAUCUUUGCGAAUUUGAAGUUUUCUGUGAAGCUUAUCUGCAAAUCGAGCCCACCAUGCUAUUGUUCCAGAAAUUUUUCUAUCUGAACCACCAAACAAAAUUUUCCCAUGGACCUAGCUUAGAACUGGGGGGAGUCAACAUUCAGCGGCGCCGUGAAUGCGGGUUUCCGGCAGUCACCUUGCCCAGUCAGCCCAAAGGCUGGGCAAAGUCUUGGUUUUACUGCCACGACACUUCUCCACCCAACGAGAACCCUCUACCGGGCUUCAGGGAGGAUCGCCUACCUAUGGACUUUGAGUUGCCUGAGAAGUUGACUGAAGAGGAAGAAGCCACACUCGUUCCUAUCUUUGGAAAGCUGAGGGCCCUUACCGCCAACGGUCUUACCGGCAUCGACUUGAUUCGCUGUUGGGUAGAAUGGAGGAUUCUGCCCUUAAGCCGCUGGAAUGGUUUGAUGUGUGAGUAUGAUGGCGACUUGAACCACCCCCAAUGCUAUUUCAAUGUGAGGCUCUCAGAAGAAGACAUUUUCAAUAUCAUACUGACGCUAUGUGGCGAGCCUAUUGAAAAUUGCUCCCAAAUUGGGCUCAAACCCUUUUGCAUCGCCAACCUGGCUCCAUAGGUAAACAACUCGGCUCCAAAACAUAAUUCGUUCAUAUGCUCAUCUAUAUUUCUAGUCCUGAACCUUCCACCAUAUUUAAUCAGAGGGAUUCGGCAUUCUGGACCCGGAGAACGAAGACUAUCGUCAAGAAGACAACCAAACCUCCCUCCAAGACGAAGAAGAAGAAGAAGAGCAAAGGCAAAGUUGCAGCCAAAGAGUCAUGUGUCGUUGGCGAGUCUCGUGCAGUUGAAGAGCAGUCAGAGGUAAAAUUCCUCGUUUUUAUUGCUUCAUUUUGACUUGUACAUAUGCUUUACCGCAUGUUGUUUAUAUGAUGAUGACUAUGAGAGCCAGGAUGAAGAUGUCGAGGUAAUUUACGUUUCUUCCGACUCAACUUCUUCCCUCCCCAAGCCGGCCAGGCGAAUUUUUAAGAAAGUUCCCAUGUCUCACCCGGAUGCUCAUCUGGACCCCAAUUUCCUUUUGAAGAAGGCAAGUUACACACAUAAACGCCAUACUCGAAGCCAUUCUGGAGAUCUAGUGUUCGGCUUACGUGAAAGAGCAACUGGUCGAAAACGACAAAGCGAGGUAUGUCUUCAUGAGUAUCUUUUCCUUCUUGUGUAAGAUAUUCUCGCAAUUUAUUCAAUCCUUGAAUUCUUGUUCAUCAGGUUUCACCUCCUUCGUUUGGCGACUCAGCAAUGUCGACUCUCCCCCGAUGAUUCGUGUUCAGGGGUAAGUUUCUUUACUAACACAUUCUUUCAAUCAUCAAUGUCCUUUGUUCCAACAUUGGUACCUUUGUUUCUCACAGCACAAGCAAAGAAGAGGAAGACACGCGACUCAUCUUCAGCCCCCAAAGUGGCUGAAAUGUCUGGUAAAGGUGCCUCCAUCCUAGAGGCUUCAGAAGAUCCAGCUGAACUCCAAGGCGAUACAUUUGAUGAUAUUCCUGAUAUCCGGGUUGAGCCUUCAAGCCCUCAAAAGGAGGAAAUUGAAAACGUUAACCCGCCCAAUCCAGCUAAGACGCCUGAAGAUCCAGAUGCAGUCAUUGUUACUAGUACUGGUUACUCUAAGCCUGCAACUAUGGUGUUAACCAGGCAUACGCCAAAAGAUGCCCAAACAUUUGCAGAGAAGGAUAUCACCAAACUGAAGCUUCCUCAUUAUGAGAAAUUGGAGUUUGAAGAAUUAUACUCCGGUUUUGUGAGCCGCUUGGAAGCAAGCCAAGAGAUGGAGAAAAGCCUGGCCAACUUGAUGCGAGUCAAAUAUGAGGUAUGACAUUUUUAUUUUUGUGAAUAUAUCCUCCCAUUAGCACUCGAAAAGGGCGGGUCAUCCAUGAUGAAUCGUACUUUUGCAUCAUUUCAGCAAUGUGUAGCCCCCAAGGGUCGGGUCAUCUUUUGAAAGAUGAGUCGGGACUUUGAAUAUAAAAUUUUCUUCAACCUCUAGCCCCCAAGGGCCGGGUCAUCUUUUGAAAGAUGAGCCGUGUCUUUGAAUAUAAAAUUUCUUCAACCUGUAGCCCCCAAGGGCCGGGUCAUCUUUUGAAAGAUGAGUCGGGUCUUUUGAAUUAAAAGUUCUUCAACCUGUAGCCCCCAAGGGCCGGGUCAUCUUUUCAAAGAUGAGUUGGGUAUUUUGAAUAUAAAAUUUCUUCAACCUGUAGCCCCCAAGGGUCGGGUCAUCUUUUGAAAAAUGAGCCGGGUCUUUUGAAUAUAAAAGUUCUUCAACCUGUAGCCCCCAAGGGUCGGGUCAUCUUUUGAAAGAUGAGCUGGGUCUUUUGAAUAUAAAAGUUCUUCAACCCGUAGCCUCCAAGGGCCGGGUCAUCUUUUGAAAGAUGAGUCAGGUCUUGAAUGAAGGUAUGACUUGAAAAGAAUCAUACAUUAGCCCCCAAGUGUCAGGGAUGUUGCUUGCAAUGGUCCUGAAACUUGCUUUCCCAAAUUUUGUUUGCAGGAAUCCUUGACUCGGGCCGACUCAAUCUUGGCCAGUUUAAAAGAAAGCCUAGCCGAACAGCAAGAUGCUCGAGCUAAGUCUGAAGAGAAAUUUCGCCUGGCCCUUGGUGACAUGGAGAAGAUGAAAGGUGAACACCAAAAGUUUGAAAAGAAAGCCCAUGCUGAACAAGCCGCCAUCUUGAAGCGGGCGGAACAAGCUGAAGAAAAGCUAGAAGCCGCUCUUCAAGAACUCUCUGGCUUAAAACAUCAUAUCUCCAACAUGACCCAAGCUAUCUUUGGUAAGGAUCAAUUCCCUUCAUCUGAAAAGAGCUGCAAAGCAUAUUGCAAAUGCUAAUUGUCUCAUUCUGUCCUUCGUAGGUCUGCGAGCCGCCACCCUGUAGAAUGACUGCAUUCUGAAGCUGAAGGCGAUUUAUACUUUCACAGAGCAGUUAUACACGGGAGGCAUGAUGAGAAUGAAGGCCGUGAUGGGCAACAGGGAGCCCAUAAAAUCCAUCAAGCACGUGUUGGGUUGCCUGUCAACAUUGCCGCCUCAGAUAGAAGAAUUAAAAAGGUCAGCCGCUCGUAAAGGAGCACUGACCACCCUAAGCUGGUGUCUGGCCUAUGCUCAUGAACUUAAGCCGGAGGAAGUAGCUGCUGGCUUUCCAGAGUUAAAAGAUGAUGCGUCAGAGUUCACCGAGGAGGACUACCAUCGUUGCAUGAAAGAGUCUCGCUCCGCGGCGACUCAACUAGAAUCCAACAUGGACUUAGGCAAAUACCAGGCGGCUUAUGAUGAAAGCAAAAAAAUGGUGACUCCUCCUUCAUAUGAAAGCACCAGCCUGACUCCACGACGCCGUAAGAAUCCCUUUGACUUUGACAUUGAUCUGUCCGCCAUCUUGAGUGAUGAAGACGAGUUUGUCGCCUUGACCAAUUGCAAUUGGAAACUGGGCGACUUACAAAUUGAAGAUGGCGAAAGCUCGAAGCAGGGUGACCCGGAGGCGGCUUGAACUGACUUAGCAUGAAAUUGAUUCUCCAAGAAUGUUUUGAUCUCUUUCUCACCAGGAUAUGAUUCUCGGAUGGCCUAGUGAGCCAUGUAAUAGUUUUAAGAUUCAGGCAAACAGUAUGACAACCGUACCUUAUGAUUUAUGUUUGGAAGUUUCAACCUUCAUUAAUAUGAAUCGCCUUUCCCAAAGCUUUGUCACAUUUUGACAAAAAUGUUCGUCGACGUGCUUAUUAGAGGAAACACAAUAAGAUGGCUCAAUGAGUCGCAGCAGGUACGGAGCAACCUCAGUGAGUCGCGGCGAGUUAUAAACAAGAAGCCGACUCAGUGAGUCGCGGCAUGUAAUAAAUAAGAAGCCGGCUCAGUGAGUCGCGGCGGGUUAUAAAACUUUUUAUGAAACCUUGUGGCAAUGCCACAAAGAUAGUCAUAAAAUUCGUCGGCUCGAUGAGUUGCGACAGGAUAGGACGAGUUUGCAAGACUCUAGUGCUACCCCAAGAAGGCUUUUGCAACAGCCCUAGUUGUUUGGACCGGCUGAUCAGGCGCGAGUCAGGCUUCAGUGAAGCAGGUUUAGUGAACCUAUGGUUUGUCUAUUUUCCAUGUGUUGACUCUCGCUAGUACCUUUCAUGUUUUAACCAAGGCAAGUUCAGGGUCCAAAAGCGGAUUGACUUGCCAAGAGUACAUGGGACCAUAGGGCGAUUUGUCAAACACACAGUUUAGUAUAACCAUUUGUAACGCGUUAAUUUUUCACUAGCCAAGAGGGUAUUCAGGCUGAACUCAGUGAGUGGAAGCCCCCAAGUGACCUAUGAUUAGGGAAAAGCCAGACAUAGGAUUGUAGAAGCGUAUACGCUCUUACUGCAAAACGACUUGGGAGCUAGUAGCCCCCAAGUAAGCCGGCUUAAUCCUCAAAACCAUAUAAGGUGCCCAUGUUUGAACCAUGCAGCAUGGCAACUUUGGUCCACUUUGGCGUAUCAACAUCCAGUUUUGAAAUAAGCGCAACGUGGCGACUUAUGCUCUUUGAUGCUGAUAGCGUCCAUGCUUGGACGUCUUAUAGAACAAUAAAGAGUCAUGCUUUCAAGAAGCUGAAAUGGCAAAAGAUCCCGGAGUUUGUGGGCGCCGGCUUUAUUGAUUUAUAAAUAAAAGAUUACAAAUUCGAAAUUGUAAACAUAAGUAAGGAGCCAGUGGCUCUAAGUGUAGUAUGGUUGCAAGUGGGCGAUGUUCCAUGGGCGGGUUGUCUCAACCUCUGUUGUUGGCCUAUCCGGGCGAAGAUCCACCAAGUAAUAUAAACCAUUAUGGAGAUUCUUGCUGAUAACAAAAGGUCCUUCCCAUGGAGGGGAUAACUUAUGCAUACUAGUAUGAUCUUGAAUCAGUCGGAGGACUAAGUCGCCCUCUUGAAAAGCUCGGCUCUUGACUCGACGGUUGUGAUAACGUUGCAAGUCUUGUUGAUAAAUCGUCGAGCAUGAUGCAGCCAAAUCACGCUCCUCCUCCAAGGCGUCCAACGAAUCUUGAUGUGCUAACUCGUUGUCUUAUUCCACAUAGGCGGUGACCCAUGGUGAAUCAUGUCUGAUAUCACUUGGUAAUACUGCCUCUGCCCCGUAGACCAGGAAAAAGGGCGUGAAACGAGUAGAUCGAUUUGGGGUGGUUCUGAUGCUCCAUAAAUUUGAAGGCAAAUCUUCAACCCAACAUCCCGUGGUACGUUCCAGAGGUACCAUAAGACGGGGCUUGAUUCCUCGCAAUAUUUCUUGAUUCGCCCUUUCAGCCUGUCCAUUGGACUAGGGAUGUGCAACUGCAGAAACGUCAAGCCGGAUGUGCUCCUUGGCGCAAAACUCUUGCAUGUCUCCCUUUGACAAGUUAGUACCAUUGUCAGUGAUGAUACUGUGAGGAUACCCAAAUCGGAAAAUCAACUUCUUCAGGAACUUGACGGUCGUGUCUGCAUCACAGCUGCUAACUGGCUCUGCUUCAACCCACUUGGUAAACUUGUCAACCGCCACCAGUAGGUGAGUACUUUUAUUGGACGGCAUCCGAAAAGUACCAACCAUGUCCAGCCCCCGGACCGCAAACGGCCAUGUGAUUGGGAUCAUCCGUAAUUCCUGAGCUGGUACAUGCAUCCGACGUCCAAAUUUUUGGCAGCCGUCACAUCGUCGAACUAUAUCCUCAGCAUCUGCAUGAGCUGUAAACCAGUAAAACCCAUGCCUAAAGGCUUUGGAUACCAGAGAGCGUGACCCGGCGUGAUGACCACAUUCGCCCGCAUGAAUCUCAUUAAGAAUCGCACACCCUUAGAAGAGACACACCUUUGAAAAACUCCAGAAGUGCUUCGCCUGUGUAACUUGCCUUUAUGUAUGAUCAUGGAUUUGCAACGGCGGACGAUUUGGCGGGCAAACAACUCAUCGGUAGGGAACUUGCCUUGCGUGAGAUACGCCAUGUAGGGGACUACCCAAUUCGGGUAGCACGGAGAGCCGCCACAAGUUGAGACUCGGGAUCAGGAACUACCAAGUCUUCCUCUGAAGGUAACUUCACUGAUGGGUUAUGCAAUAUAUCCAAAAACACGUUGGGAGGAACCGGCUUACACUAUGAGCCAAGUCGUGGGAGAGCAUCUACUACCUCGUUAAGCCGCCGAUCAAUGUGAUCAACCUCAUAACCAUGGAAAUGUCCCGCCACGUCUGACACAGCACGCCUGUAAGCCGCCAUCAGAGGAUCUCUAGAGUCCCAUGUGCCAGAAACUUGUUGUGCCACUAGAUCUGAGUCGCCCAAACAACUGACCUGACUGAGGUUCAUCUCUUUGGCGAUUCUCAACCCAUGAAGCAAGGCUUCAUACUCCGAUGCAUUGUUGGUACACGGGAACAUUAGUCUAAGGACAUAUCAAAACUUGUCUCCCUGAGGUGAAGUCAAUACCACGCCAGCCCCCGAGCCUUCCAACUGUCUAGACCUGUCAAAAUGGAUUGUCCAAUAUGUGUGAUCAGGUCUGUCUUCCGGAAUUUGUAACUCGGUCCAAUCGUUGAUGAAGUCCACCAAAGCUUGGGAUUUAAUAGCCGCGCGGGGGGUGUAUUUCACGUGAUGGGGACCAAGCUCGAUGGGCCACUUAGCAAGCCGCCCAGUAACCUCUCUGUUCUGUAUAAUAUCACCAAGUGGGGCAGAACUGACCACUGUGAUAGGGUGCUCUUGAAAGUAAUCUUUCAGCUUCCGGCUUGCCAUGAACACUCCAAAAACCAGCUUCUGGCAAUGCGGAUAACGCUGUUUGGAGAGGGUUAGGACUUCGCUGACAAAGUAGAUCGGUCGUUGAACCGUGUAUUCCUUCCCCUCUUCCUUGCGCUCGACGACCACUACAACGCUUACCGCUUUAGAGUUGGCAGCAAUGUACAGGAGCAUAGGCUCUUUGUUGGUCGGGGCAGCCAAGACGGGCGGCUUAGCCAACUGUUUUUUCACGGCCUCAAAGGCUUCAUUGGCUUCAUCCAUCCAAACAAAGCGAUCAGUUUUCUUGAGUAGAUGAUAAAGAGGGAUGGCUUUCUCCCCGAGAUGGCUUAUGAAAUGACUUAGGGCUGCAAUACGACCCGCCAUGCGCUAAACUUGGUUGAUAUUGGCCGGCUUGCUAAGAGAAGUAAUUGCUUCAAUUUUAUCCGCGUUAGCUUCGAUGCCUCUCUCUGAGACCAAGAAACCCAAGAGCUUUCCUGCAGGAACACCUAAAACACACUUGGUAGGGUUGAGCCUCAUCUUGUACACACGCAAAUUGUCAAAAGUCUCCUUAAGGUCUUCCAGAAGUGAUUCUUUCUUCUGGGAUUUGACCACUAUGUCGUCCACGUAAGCAUGGACAUUACGCCCAAUUUGGUUGUGCAAGCAAUUCUGGAUGCAGCGCUGAUAAGUCGCCCCGACACUCUUGAGCCCGAACGGCAUAGACACAUAACAGAAAGCCCCAAAGGGGGUUAUAAAUGAUGUUUUCUCCUGAUCCGCCAAAGCCAUCUUGAUCUGGUGGUACCCUGAAUAAGCGUCCACGAAACAUAGCCGUUCGCAACCCAUAGUAGAAUCAAUGAUUUGAUCGAUGCGAGGGAGAGAAAAAGGGUCCUUUUGGCAGGCCCUGUUGAGGUCAGUGUAGUCGAUACACAUGCAGGAAGUGUCGUUCUUCUUAAGCACUAGAACCGGGUUAGCCAACCAUUCGGGGUGGAAGACUUCAACGAUGAAUCCAACGGCCAAGAGUCGGGCGACUUCCUCCCCAAUCACUUUACGCCGUUCUUCACUGAAACGGCGAAGAUACUGUUGAACCGGCUUUAUCUUAGGAUCAAUGUUAAGGUGGUGCUCAGCGAAUUCCCUCGAUACACCUGGCAUGUCAGAAGGUUUCCGUGCGAAGAUGUCCCGAUUCUCAUGGAUGAAUUCCAUGAGAACACAUUCCUAUUUGGGGUCCAGACCCGUCCCAAUGGUGAAUUGUUUGGAUGAGUCACCAGGCGUGAAGUCUACCACCUUCGUGUCAUCUGUUGGUUUGAAUUUGAGGGCGACUCUAAAUCGACUGUAGGUCUCUUGAGCGGCGUCAUAUAUGUCGGGUCAAUAUUAGCUUUAUGAAACUUGAGUUCCUCAGCCGCGCAGGCUGACUCGGCAUAAGUUGCGUCUCCUUCCUCGCAUUCUUGAGCUAUUCUCCUGUCUCCAUUGACUGUGAUGGUUCCUUUAGGGCCCGGUAUUUUGAGCUUGAGAUAGAUGUAGCAUGGGCGGGCCAUGAAGCGAGCAUAAGCCGGCCUUCCAAACAGGGUGGGAUAAGGGCUUUUGAUCUUGACCACCUCAAACAUGAGGGACUCAUUCCUGUAGUUAGAUUACGUGCCAGAAGCUACAUGAAGCUUGAUCCGCCCAACAGGGUACGCCGACUUGCCCGGAACAAUGCCGUGAAAAACCGUUGAGGAGGGCAUCAAAUCGCUUUCCGAGAAAUUCAUCCGUCGGAAGGUAUCGAAAUAUAAGAUGUGCAUGCUGCUACCGCCAUCCAUAAGAACUUUGGACAAUGUAUAUCUCCCGACCUAGGGCGCCACAACCAAAGCCAAGUCGCUAGGAUUAUCGACCCGCGGCGGGUGAUCCUCCCUACUCCAAACAAUGGGUUGCUCCGACCAAUUGAGGUACCUGAGGAGUGCCGACUCAAUCACGCUGACGGCCCUGCGUCUCACCUUCUGGUCCCGCUUGCAAGUGCUGGUGGUGAACACAUGAUAUUGCCCGUUGUUUAACUGUUUGGGGUUAUUUUGGAAACCGCCAUUGUCAUCCUGCGGCUGGGAACCGUUACGAGGAGGUGGCUGUUGGAAAACACCUUGCGUGUUGUGUUGCGGAUUGCUUCGAGCCGGAUGCUGCCCAAGGUUAGGCUGUGACCCGCCCUGCGGGCCCGGGUUAGGGAAUCCGCCAAACGGAUUUCUAUGUGGCCCAGCCGUGCCAAAGCGGUCCUGUUAGCCACCAUGGUUGCCUCCUUGUCCCCUUUUGAGUGUUUCGGCGCAAAACUCCUGCAUCACAUAACAGUCUUCCCAAGAGUGGGUAGACAGGUCGUCUGCGGUGGCGUGUUGCGGGCAAGGGCCCUUGAGCAUCUCAUAAUAGUUGUGUGGUUUCUUCCCGCUGAAACCCCGUUUCGGUUGACGCUGGUUUCUGUUGCCAACGCUAGUAUUAGCAACGAAAUCGAUGGCGCCUUCUUGUUGCCUUCUUUUGACCUGACCGGCGGGGUGGUGGUAGCCUCGUCCCUGGAAUUGGGAAUGGCCUCGUGACAACUCGCCUCUCCUGGUGGUGCUGACCUUGUCGUCAUCCUCCUCGAGGUCUUUAGUGUUGUCUGCCUCGGCGUACCUAGUCAGGGUGUCCAUCAAUUCUCCCAUGUCCUGCACCUUACGCUUGAGCCGCCCAAGUUUUAGCACAAAGGGCUCGUAGUGACAGUUUUUCUCCAAGAUCAACACGGCCUGAGCCGCCGAGAUGACUUCUGACGAAUGGACCACCUCCGCAACUCGCCGUGUCCAAUGAUGGGCCGACUCGUCCGGGCGUUGGACAUAGUGCUGUAAGUCGACGAUGGUCAUUGGUCGCUUGCAGGUUCCUUUGAAGUUUUUAACAAAGUGUUCCUUUAACUCGGCCCAGGUGUUGAUGGAGUUGGGAGGCAGGCUCUUCAACCAUGUGCGUGUUGUCCCUUCAAGCAUCAUGGUGAAGUACUUAGCGCAGGCCGCCUCGUUUACAUUGAGCAUAUCCAUUGCCAGCUCGUAGCUCUCAACCGAUGCACCCGGCUCUAGGUCAGGCGUAUAAUUGGGUACCUUUCGUGGGCCUUUGAAAUCCUUUGGCAUACACUCGUUGCGGUUGGCAGGUGCCAGGCAGGGCACCCCGACAUGCCUGCCACCGNNNNNNNNNNNNNNNNNNNNNNNNNNNNNNNNNNNNNNNNNNNNNNNNNNNNNNNNNNNNNNNNNNNNNNNNNNNNNNNNNNNNNNNNNNNNNNNNNNNNUUUAUUUUUUAUACAUUUUGAAAACAUCAUUGGCACACGAUUUCCACUGAUUUUUCAUGUGACAUUCCUUCCUCCCCGCUCCCGGAGCCACGAGCCGACCUCUCUCCGAGUUCGCUUCCUCGAAGCUUUCCAGCCCACGCCCGCUCCACCCGUUGCGCCGACACCUCCGGCCCGGUCGGUGUCCCCACCGGCCAAACGCCACGCUUCCCGCGGAGACCCCGCGUGGGCCCCGCCCCCCACGACCCCACCACCUCCCCCUCCACCUGGCCGCGCGCCGCGCGCGUAUUAAACGGCCUCCUCCUCCGCCUCGCUCCUCUCGCACCAACACCACAGACCACCACCGCAGCACGCAGCACGCACCACGCGCCCUCCCGCCCCGUGAUCGCCGCCGUCUCGCCGCUGCGCCGACCCCUCCACCGGCAUUCGAUUCGGAGCCCAGCCCGUCCGGCGGCGCGGAGGUACGUGAGAUCCCGGCCGCCCCGUUGCGAGAUCUGGCGUUGCUGCUCGCGCGCUGGCCUGCUGUCCUUGUUAUCACCUGGAGUGCGUCUCGAAUGUUGUCCCGUGGCGGGUUUUCGGGCGGGGUGUAGUCCCCGUGAUCCGGGGGUUGAGGGAAGGGAUUCCAUAUCUCAGCCCAAAUGGUCGGGCCUGGCGGCAGCUCGGGAUGCAGAUCUGACGAGGUGGGGUCCUAGGGUUGCGCGCCUGGAGCUGGAUCUAGCGAUCAUUGCACUGGGAGUUUAGAGGGGUGGGUGAUCCAUGUUGUUCGAAUCAAAAAAGAAAAAGAAAUGGUAUUAGGGGCGGGUGAUCGGGCUGUUCUGAUCUUUCUUUAUGUUAGCUGUAUAUAUAUGUAAGCGGCGGGAAAUCAAGGGAGAUCUUAGUUUAAAUCGGGUUAUAAUUAUGAUCCUUAUGUUUGUCUAGCUCAUUGGAAACGGACCCUGUGUUUGUAAGCAUAACAGCGAAUAUGCCUUGGCUAGGUGGAAGGAGAAGGAAGAUCCUUUUCUAGAACAGUGUGUGAUCCUGCCUUUGUAUCUUUUCUGAUUGAUGCUAGGCAUGGAUCUCGAGUAAUCUUCCGGUGAUGAGCCAAGAAACUNNNNNNNNNNNNNNNNNNNNNNNNNNNNNNNNNNNNNNNNNNNNNNNNNNNNNNNNNNNNNNNNNNNNNNNNNNNNNNNNNNNNNNNNNNNNNNNNNNNNCGUAUUAAACGGCCUCCUCCUCCGCCUCGCUCCUCUCGCACCAACACCACAGACCACCACCGCAGCACGCAGCACGCACCACGCGCCCUCCCGCCCCGUGAUCGCCGCCGUCUCGCCGCUGCGCCGACCCCUCCACCGGCAUUCGAUUCGGAGCCCAGCCCGUCCGGCGGCGCGGAGGUACGUGAGAUCCCGGCCGCCCCGUUGCGAGAUCUGGCGUUGCUGCUCGCGCGCUGGCCUGCUGUCCUUGUUAUCACCUGGAGUGCGUCUCGAAUGUUGUCCCGUGGCGGGUUUUCGGGCGGGGUGUAGUCCCCGUGAUCCGGGGGUUGAGGGAAGGGAUUCCAUAUCUCAGCCCAAAUGGUCGGGCCUGGCGGCAGCUCGGGAUGCAGAUCUGACGAGGUGGGGUCCUAGGGUUGCGCGCCUGGAGCUGGAUCUAGCGAUCAUUGCACUGGGAGUUUAGAGGGGUGGGUGAUCCAUGUUGUUCGAAUCAAAAAAGAAAAAGAAAAAGAAAUGGUAUUAGGGGCGGGUGAUCGGGCUGUUCUGAUCUUUCUUUAUGUUAGCUGUAUAUAUAUGUAAGCGGCGGGAAAUCAAGGGAGAUCUUAGUUUAAAUCGGGUUAUAAUUAUGAUCCUUAUGUUUGUCUAGCUCAUUGGAAACGGACCCUGUGUUUGUAAGCAUAACAGCGAAUAUGCCUUGGCUAGGUGGAAGGAGAAGGAAGAUCCUUUUCUAGAACAGUGUGUGAUCCUGCCUUUGUAUCUUUUCUGAUUGAUGCUAGGCAUGGAUCUCGAGUAAUCUUCCGGUGAUGAGCCAAGAAACUNNNN